rnacentral:misc_RNA from 1 species
UUUCCGUAGGUGAACCUGCGGAAGGAUCAUUCAUAAUAAGUGUUUUAUGGCACUUUUUUAAAUCCAUAUCCACCUUGUGUGCAAUGUCAGGGUUGAUUUUUCUCACGAGAGGAUCAGCCCCAAACAUCAACUAUAUCUCAACUCUUUGUCUGAAAAAUAUUAUGAAUAAAACAAUUCAAAAUACAACUUUCAACAACGGAUCUCUUGGCUCUU